rnacentral:rRNA from 1 species
GACGAACGCUGGCGGCGUGCUUAACACAUGCAAGUCGAGCGGUAAGGCCCUUUCGGGGGUACGACGAGCGGCGAACGGGUGAGUAACACGUAGGUGACCUGCCCUCAGCUCUGGGAUAAGCCUGGGAAACCGGGUCUAAUACUGGAUAUGACUCCAUGACGCAUGUUGUGGGGUGGAAAGCCUUGUGCGGCUGAGGAUGGGCCCGCGGCCUAUCAGCUUGUUGGUGGGGUGANGGCCUACCAAGGCGACGACGGGUAGCCGGCCUGAGAGGGCGACCGGCCACACUGGGACUGAGACACGGCCCAGACUCCGUACGGGAGGCAGCAGGUGGGGAAUCUUGCGCAAUGGGCGAAAGCCUGACGCAGCGACGCCGCGUGAGGGAUGACGGCCU